UGUUAGCGGAAAAAAUAUCUACCAUAAGCAAAAAAAAAACAAAAACCAACAACAAAAGGCAGCCAAAAGUCUCUCCUGGUUGGAUCAUUUUGUGUCUGGUCCUGGUGAGCUACACAGCCAUUGAAUGAUUCAUGUGUGACAUCUGGGAGCCUUGGAGAUCUUCAGCAUAGAGAGGAUAACAGCAAGAUUUCCUCAUUUCUCAGCAAUAGGACCCACGUUGUAUCCCAACACUGUAACAAACUAAAUAAACCACCCUGUUUGGAUGAUACCAGCUGAGUCCUCGUGAGCUCAAGGAAGAAGCAGAGAAGUCUAUUGGGAACGAUUGUUUGAACUCAGAAGUCAAGACCAUGGCACCGAAUUGAAUUCUGGCUAACUUUGAAAUCCAGCAUUUCAGGGCCUAGAAGCUCCAGUUACGAGUCAGAACUCCCCCAUUGAGGUGCUGCAAAUAGCCUGGCCCUUGCUGCGGCUUCUGAAGGAAAGGGAAGUUCUGAGGGGGAAUUUGAAAAGGAAGAACGUGAAAGCUUUGCAGAUACCAAUAGACAAUUCCUUCCCCAAGUGUGAGGGGCAACAGAGGAAAGUGUAACUGGGCUUGUUUGAAAGGAUUGCAGUCAGAGGAAGGUACCUUGGCUCAUAGACUAAUUGGGAGCAAGAGCUGACCUUUUGAUAUUGAACGAGAGGGUCAGUGGUGAGCGGAUAGGCCACAAAGGGCUUUGAAAGUCAAGACAAGUCAUUUGUGUCUAAUUCGACUGAGAGGGCUACAGAGAGCCAGACUGAGGGAGGGGCAAGGGAAGGAGAUUUGUGUCAAGAGCUUAAGAGAGAGGGGGCUGAGACUGGAGGCGGGAGAGGGAGUUGGGAGAGCAGGGGAAGUGGCUGGACAAUCUGAGAUCAGCAGUAGCA